rnacentral:lncRNA from 1 species
AUGCAGAAAGGUCCCGCGUCUACCACUUGGCUGAGACCUGAAGGCACCACCUCCUCCUUAGACUCAAGAUACAAACACGGAUCCAUCUUCGGGGUUUGCAGUAAGUGCUCCACCCCCACUGCCAGAGGAGCUGCGGGUUCUGUGAUUUCCCCUUUUCCCAGGAGCUCUUGCUGCACCAACCUCUGGCGCAGACUACAGCGCAAAGGCCAAGGGAAGGAGGGCAGCCCCGCCUCCUCCCGCGGGGCGUCCCUGGCUCGCUGAACUUCGCUCAUUCCUCCUCGCGGCCACCAGGAGGUGCUGUCGCGUCGCGGAGACCUGGAUCCAGGCGCGGCCCCAGGUCCUGCCUGCACCUGCUGGUUUUCAGAGGCGAGGGCGUCUCCUGGUCGCUCAGGGCUCAACUCUGCGAUUCCCACGCCAAGGCCUAGCGGCUCCCAGGCUGGUUCCAGCACCCGCUCCUCCGCAGUCACCGGGUCCUUCCGGGGAUCCACACCACCCGGAGGUCUGGCUGUUUUCCUUGUUAGUCCUCACAAAACACAAAGGACGUGAACCCACCUGCCCCCCGACGCGCGCACAAGAGCGUGGCUCCCCCUCCUCGUAAGCAAUUCCACCCUCCGCGAUUCCGGAGGGCCUGCUCCUACCGCUCUCACUUGGUCUCGUUUACUUUCUGGGACACAAAGACAUCAUCUCAGUGCGCCUCACAAGAAAGGAGGAAAAGCAACAUUUCAUCUUUGAGGCAUUGGAGUGCCUUGGGAAACGGCCUCAGCACUCCCUCCAGCAAAGGUCCUCCAGGACCUCCCCCCGGGCUCACAAGACACGAUGGCCUGUCCGCUGCUGCACGAGGGCGUGUCAGAGAGAGGCUGUGUCCGCCCUUCUGGACCCAAGGAAAACAGCAGCAGCAGGCGGCCCGCCCCCCGCUCUGGUGCGCAAACAGCGGCUGCAGUUCUUUUCGUUAGGAACGUUAUGACAGCCAGGCACACCUGCCUUCUGCUCUUCAGGGCCAUCCCAGGACACCGGAAAUAAGGGGUGUAGAGUUUGGGG